AGAUUGAACGCUGGCGGCAUGCUUUACACAUGCAAGUCGAACGGUAACAGGCCGCAAGGUGCUGACGAGUGGCGAACGGGUGAGUAAUGCAUCGGAACGUGCCCAGUCGUGGGGGAUAACGCAGCGAAAGCUGUGCUAAUACCGCAUACGAUCUAUGGAUGAAAGCGGGGGGACCGAAAGGCCUCGCGCGAUUGGAGCGGCCGAUGUCAGAUUAGCUAGUUGGUGGGGUAAAGGCCCACCAAGGCGACGAUCUGUAGCUGGUCUGAGAGGACGACCAGCCACACUGGAACUGAGACACGGUCCAGGACUCCUACGGGAGGCAGCAGUGGGGAAUUUUGGGACAAUGGGCGCAAGCCUGAUCCAGCAAUGCCGCGUGCAGGAGAAGGCCUUGGUUGUAAACUGCUUUUGACGUAACGAACGGUCUGGUUAAUACUCGGCUAAUGACGUACGUAAGAAUAAGCACCGACUAACUACGU
rnacentral:rRNA from 1 species